AAAUAUGCCACUGUUAUAUAAAAUGUUACACCAAAAGUUACAUGUAUUAGUAAUAAGUGUUGUAAUGUUCAGUUAUUAUGAAAAGUGAUCAAGUUCAUCAAACAAAGCAACUUGGCUCGUUCUGACAUGCAGUCACAGGACACGGAUGAUGUUAAUGUAGCAGUACAACGUUACGAUGAACGGACAGAGGAAGAGGAUGAUGAACAUGCCGAACAGGAAUCCCGCCCAGUGAGCAACACCAGGGAGCAUGUCCUUCUUCAGUACAUCGAAACAUGUGUUUAACAGAACAUGUAAGUGUGAGCAGCUCAGUUCAGUUAAGGAUACGCAUCUUCUCUUCUCAACAAACGAAACCAUGGAAAAUAACAACCUAUAUGAAGAGCCUUCACAGUUGGUGAGACCACGGCUACUUGUCAGAUGUUUUCCCUCCAGUUAACAGAAGUUCUCAUGGAAGGUGUAGUUUUGAAAGCAAAUUUCUGUAUAGCCACAAACAUUGUGCAAGCAUUAAUAUUUCCACAGUUAGUGCCCAGAUAAAAUGUUA